CAAAUGUUUGCGGAAGUGGAAGCUUGAACAAAUAACAGUUCAAUUAAUAAUCUCUGUUGUAUGCGAGAUACACUCAACUUUUUCAAUGAUCUCGUUAUUUGCGUCGUUGGUUUACAAUGAAUGUGUCAAAAAUCAGCAACACACAUUGACGAGUAUUUAGUUAUUUAUUCUGCCCUCCCCUCCCAAAACAACUGGAAACGUGUGAGCUGUCCUACUACGUCGUCAGCUGAGACAGGCGACAUGGCGACUUCAGCGGGCUUCAAGGUUCUAUAUGAGCAUGAUGGAGUUUUUAUACACACCAACCCAGAAAGGAGUGAGGAGCAGGAUUCUCUGACUUCGGGAUCCCUGCGUGUCCUGGACCAGGAUGGAGACAUAGUGCUGGAAUAUAAACCCGUGGAACAUGUUGACCACUCUGCCAUGCUGUGUGCUGCCAAGG